GCGGCCGUGACCCUGCUGGAGUGCGGGAGCGACCUCCAGCCCCCGGGGGGUUCCCUGCGCCUCCUCUGCCGAGGGUCCGGGUUCAGUUUUGGUGGUUAUGCCAUGCACUGGAUCCGCCAGAGACCUGGGCAGGGGCUGGAAUGGGUUGCGGGGAUCAGCAGCGGUGCUGGUUCCUACACCGGCUACGCACCGUCAGUCAAGGGCCGCUUCAGGAUGUCCAGGGACAACGGGCAGAGCUCAGUGACGCUGACCAUGAACAACCUCAAGGACGACGAUUCCGGAUCCUAUUUCUGUGCAAAAGAGAGUGUUGCUGUUAACCCGGCUGCUGCUUAUAUUGACCGUGUCGGUGGU